AAACCAGCACCUCAAGUGGUCAGGAGGAUUAAUGGGCCUAAAGCAUCCGUAGCCGGCUAUGUUAGUUUUCGGUUAAAUCCAUGUGCUCAACACAUGGGCUGUCGAGAAUACUGCAUAGCUAGGGAGUGGGAGAGGUAGACGGUACUCGAUAGGAAGGGGUAAAAUCCUUUGAUCUAUUGAUGACCACCUGUGGCGAAGGCGGUCUACCAGAACACGUUCGACGGUGAGGGAUGAAAGCUGGGGGAGCAAACCGGAUUAGAAACCCGAGUAGUCC
rnacentral:rRNA from 1 species